rnacentral:rRNA from 1 species
UGUUCCUACGGGACGCAGCAGUGAGGAAUAUUGGUCAAUGGCCGAGAGGCUGAACCAGCCAAGUCGCGUGAGGGAAGACGGCCCUAUGGGUUGUAAACCUCUUUUGUCGGGGAGCAAAGAGGCCACGUGUGGUCAAAAGCGAGAGUACCCGAAGAAAAAGCAUCGGCUAACUCCGUGCCAGCAGCCGCGGUAAUACGGAGGAUGCGAGCGUUAUCCGGAUUUAUUGGGUUUAAAGGGUGCGUAGGCGGGACGGUAAGUCAGCGGUAAAAAUGCGGAGCUCAACUCCGUCGAGCCGUUGAAACUGC